UGGGGAAUAUUGCACAAUGGGCGCAAGCCUGAUGCAGCCAUGCCGCGUGUGUGAAGAAGGCCUUCGGGUUGUAAAGCACUUUCAGCGAGGAGGAAGGUGGUGAACUUAAUACGUUCAUCAAUUGACGUUACUCGCAGAAGAAGCACCGGCUAACUCCGUGCCAGCAGCCGCGGUAAUACGGAGGGUGCAAGCGUUAAUCGGAAUUACUGGGCGUAAAGCGCACGCAGGCGGUUUGUUAAGUCAGAUGUGAAAUCCCCGGGCUCAACCUGGGAACUGCAUUUGAAACUGGCAAGCUAGAGUCUCGUAGAGGGGGGUAGAAUUCCAGGUGUAGCGGUGAAAUGCGUAGAGAUCUGGAGGAAUACCGGUGGCGAAGGCGGCCCCCUGGACGAAGACUGACGCUCAGGUGCGAAAGCGUGGGGAGCAAAACAGGAUUAGAUACCCUGGUAGUCCACGCUGUAAAACGAUGUCGAUUUUGGAGGUUGUGCCCUUGAGGCGUGGCUUCCGGAGCUAACGCGUUAAAUCGACCG
rnacentral:rRNA from 1 species